rnacentral:rRNA from 1 species
CGAAGGGUGCAAGCGUUACUCGGAAUUACUGGGCGUAAAGCGUGCGUAGGCGGUUCGUUAAGUCCGUUGUGAAAGCCCUGGGCUCAACCUGGGAAUGGCAGUGGAUACUGGCGAGCUAGAGUGUGAUAGAGGAUGGUGGAAUUCCCGGUGUAGCGGUGAAAUGCGUAGAGAUCGGGAGGAACACCAGUGGCGAAGGCGGCCAUCUGGAUCAACACUGACGCUGAGGCACGAAAGCGUGGGGAGCAAACAGGAUUAGAUACCCUGGUAGUCCACGCCCUAAACGAUGCGAACUGGACGUUGGGAGCAACUUGGCUCUCAGUGUCGAAGCUAACGCGUUAAGUUCGCCGCCUGGGGAGUACGGUCGCAAGACUG